rnacentral:rRNA from 1 species
GACGAACGCUGGCGGCGUGCUUAACACAUGCAAGUCGAACGGAAAGGCCCUGCUUUUGUGGGGUGCUCGAGUGGCGAACGGGUGAGUAACACGUGAGUAACCUGCCCUUGACUUUGGGAUAACUUCAGGAAACUGGGGCUAAUACCGGAUAGGAGCUCCUGCUGCAUGGUGGGGGUUGGAAAGUUUCGGCGGUUGGGGAUGGACUCGCGGCUUAUCAGCUUGUUGGUGGGGUAGUGGCUUACCAAGGCUUUGACGGGUAGCCGGCCUGAGAGGGUGACCGGCCACAUGGGGACUGAGAUACGGCCCAGACUCCUACGGGAGGCAGCAGUGGGGAAUAUUGCACAAGGGGCGGAAGCCUGAUGCAGAAACGCCGCGUGCGGGAGGACGGCCUUCGGGUGGGAAACCGCUUUCGCCUGUGACGAAGCGUGAGUGACGGUAAUGGGUAAAGAAGCACCGGCUAACUACGU